GGGGCUGAUUCUGGAUUCGACGGGAUUUGCGAGACCCAAGGUGCAUGCCGAGGGGCGGUUGGCCUCGUAAAAAGCCGCAAAAAAUAGUCGCAAACGACGAAAACUACGCUUUAGCAGCUUAAUAACCUGCUUAGAGCCCUCUCUCCCUAGCCUCCGCUCUUAGGACGGGGAUCAAGAGAGGUCAAACCCAAAAGAGAUCGCGUGGAAGCCCUGCCUGGGGUUGAAGCGUUAAAACUUAAUCAGGCUAGUUUGUUAGUGGCGUGUCCGUCCGCAGCUGGCAAGCGAAUGUAAAGACUGACUAAGCAUGUAGUACCGAGGAUGUAGGAAUUUCGGACGCGGGUUCAACUCCCGCCAGCUCCACCA
rnacentral:tmRNA from 1 species